UACAGAGGUCUCAAGCGUUGUUCGGAUUCAUUGGGCGUAAAGGGUGCGUAGGUGGCGUCGUAAGUCGGGUGUGAAAUUUCGGAGCUUAACUCCGAAACUGCAUUCGAUACUGCCGUGCUUGAGGACUGGAGAGGAGACUGGAAUUUACGGUGUAGCGGUGAAAUGCGUAGAGAUCAUGAAGGAAGACCAGUGGCGAAGGCGGGUCUCUGGACAGUUCCUGACAGCUGAGCACACGAAGGCCAGGGGAGCAAACGGG
rnacentral:rRNA from 1 species